rnacentral:lncRNA from 1 species
AUAUCUAUGUGCCUGUACUUUAGCCACACCGCUCAGAACAUAAUUCCUAGGCCUUCCAAGUGGAUUGCCAGAAUGAGGAAAUAAUCUUGAUCCAUGUGCAAUAUCAUGAUUCCCAACCCACUCCUCGUCAUCUUCGUUCCUCGAAGCCAAGUUAUGCUUAGUCUCAAAACCGACAAUAUAUCUUGAACAAAAUGUCAUG